rnacentral:rRNA from 1 species
GCUUCAUUCAAAUAUCUGCCCUAUCAACUUUCGAUGGUAGGAUAGUGGCCUACCAUGGUUUAACGGGUAACGGGGAAUAAGGGUUCGAUUCCGGAGAGGGAGCCUGAGAAACGGCUACCACAUCCAAGGAAGGCAGCAGGCGCGCAAAUUACCCAAUCCCGACCGGGGAGGUAGUGACAAUAAAUAACAAUAUAGGGCUCUUUUGGGUCUUAUAAUUGGAAUGAGUACAAUUUAAACCCCUUAACGAGGAACAAUUGGAGGGCAAGUCUGGUGCCAGCAGCCGCGGUAAUUCCAGCUCCAAUAGCGUAUAUUAAAGUGUUGCAGUUAAAAAGCUCGUAGUUG